UCCUCGUUUAAGCGAGGCAGUCUGUCCAGAGUGCUCCCAACUCUCGUUAGGGUGGCAACAGGACAUAGGGGUUGCGCUCGUUGCGGGACUUAACCCAACAUCUCACGACACGUGCUGACGACAGCCAUGCAGCACCUGUGCAAGCUCCCCUUGCGGGGUCGUCACUCUUUCAGGCUUCUACCACUUGCAUGUCAAGGCCAGGUAAGGUUCUUCGCGUUGCAUCGAAUUAAGCCACAUACUCCACCGCUUGUGCAGGCCCCCGUCAAUUUCUUUGAGUUUUAAUCUUGCGACCGUACUUCCCAGGCGGCUUGCUUAACGCGUUGGCUUCGCCACAAAAGGGGUCGAUUCCUUUUACAGCAAGCAAGCACCGUUUACGGCUAGGACUAC
rnacentral:misc_RNA from 1 species